UACGAAGGGGGCUAGCGUUGCUCGGAAUCACUGGGCGUAAAGCGCACGUAGGCGGAUUGCUAAGUCAGGGGUGAAAUCCUGGAGCUCAACUCCAGAACUGCCCUUGAUACUGGCGGUCUCGAGUCCGGGAGAGGUGAGUGGAACUGCGAGUGUAGAGGUGAAAUUCGUAGAUAUUCGCAAGAACACCAGUGGCGAAGGCGGCUCACUGGACCGGUACUGACGCUGAGGUGCGAAAGCGUGGGGAGCAAACAGG
rnacentral:rRNA from 1 species